rnacentral:rRNA from 1 species
ACUCCUACGGGAGGCAGCAGUAGGGAAUCUUCCACAAUGGGCGCAAGCCUGAUGGAGCAACACCGCGUGAGUGAAGAAGGGUUUCGGCUCGUAAAGCUCUGUUGUUAAAGAAGAACACGUAUGAGAGUAACUGUUCAUACGUUGACGGUAUUUAACCAGAAAGUCACGGCUAACUACGUGCCAGCAGCCGCGGUAAUACGUAGGUGGCAAGCGUUAUCCGGAUUUAUUGGGCGUAAAGAGAGUGCAGGCGGUUUUCUAAGUCUGAUGUGAAAGCCUUCGGCUUAACCGGAGAAGUGCAUCGGAAACUGGAUAACUUGAGUGCAGAAGAGGGUAGUGGAACUCCAUGUGUAGCGGUGGAAUGCGUAGAUAUAUGGAAGAACACCAGUGGCGAAGGCGGCUACCUGGUCCGCAACUGACGCUGAGACUCGAAAGCAUGGGUAGCGAACAGGAUUAGAUACCCUGGUAGGAUAGCG